rnacentral:rRNA from 1 species
UUAUGGCGUACCUAAAGCCGGAUAAUACGAACAACAGUUUAAAAUCCAAAGAACUUGGCGGUAUCUUACAAAAUCAGGGGAACCUGUCACUUAAUUCGAUAAUCCACGAACGUCUUCACCUUUUUUUGAAUAACAGCCUGUGUACUGCUGUCGUCAGUAAACCUCUAAAAGAAAGUUUGCAACUAUAUGAUAUAUUCACGUCAAGUCAAAGUGCAGCUAAUAAAAAGGAGUAGAUGGGUUACAAUCUUAAAAUAGAUACGGAAGUAAAAAAAAUAUAUUACUGAAGGUGGACUUGAUAGUAAUGACAUAAAAUCAUGAAAAUCAAUUUAAGAUGUGCACACAUCGCCCGUCACUCUCGUCUAA